rnacentral:tRNA from 1 species
GGAGAGGUACCCAAAGCGGCCUAAUGGGGUCCGGGAAACCGGACGGGCUCGCGCCCACGCAGGUUCGAAUCCUGCCCUCUCCGCCA